rnacentral:rRNA from 1 species
GGCUACUGCUAUCAGAGUUUGCGUAAGCCAUGUUAGUCGAGGGUGAUCUUCUUCGGAAGAGGUAACCGGCAGACGGCUCAGUAACACGUGGACAACUUACCCUUGGGACCGGGAUAACCCCUGGGAAACUGGGGCUAAUACCGGAUAGAGCAUUGAUUGCUGGAAUGCAUGAUGUUCGAAAGCUGAGGCGCCCAAGAAUAGGUCUGCGGCCGAUUAGGUUGUUGUUGAUGUAACGGAUCAACAAGCCUACGAUCGGUACGGGUUGUGAGAGCAAUAGCCCGGAGAUGGGUUCUGAGAGAAGAACCCAGGUCCUACGGGACGCAUCAGGCGCGAAAACUUUACAAUGUGCGAAAGCACGAUAAGGGAACUCUGAGUGCCUCCUAAGGAGGCUGUUCGGGUGUCUAAAAAGCAUCUGAAGGAAGGGCUGGGUAAGACCGGUGCCAGCCGCCGCGGUAACACCGGCAGCCCAAGUGGUAGCCAUGCUUAUUGGGUCUAAAGCGUCCGUAGCCGGCCAAGUAAGUUCUUUGGGAAAUUUGACCGCUUAACGGUCAAGCUGUCAGGGAAUACUGCUUGGCUUGGGACCGGGAGAGGUCAGAGGUACUCCAAGGGUAGGGGUGAAAUCCGUUAAUCCUUGGGGGACCACCGGUAGCGAAGGCGUCUGACCAGACCGGGUCCGACGGUGAGGGACGAAGGCUAGGGUCGCGAACCGGAUUAGAUACCCGGGUAGUCCUAGCUGUAAACGAUGCGGGCCAGGUGUUGGCAUUACUGCGAGUGAUGCCAGUGCCGAAGGGAAGCCGUUAAGCCCGCCAUCUGGGGAGUACGGUCGCAAGGCUGAAACUUAAAGGAAUUGGCGGGGGAGCACCACAACGGGUGGAGCUUGCGGUUC